GGUUGCGAUCAUACCAGCACUAAUGCACCGGAUCCCAUCAGAACUCCCCAGUUAAGCGUGCUUGGGCGAGAGUAGUACUAGGAUGGGUGACCCCCUGGGAAGUCCUCGUGUUGCAAUCC
rnacentral:rRNA from 1 species